UGGCCUUUACUGAGCACUUUGCGCAUGG
rnacentral:sRNA from 1 species